rnacentral:rRNA from 1 species
GUUAAGUUAGAAAGGGCGCACGGUGGAUGCCUUGGCACUAGGAGCCGAUGAAGGACGGACGAACACCGAUAUGCUUCGGGGAGCUGUAAGCAAGCUUUGAUCCGGAGAUUUCCGAAUGGGGAAACCCACCACUCGUAAUGGAGUGGUAUCCAUAUCUGAAUACAUAGGAUAUGAGAAGGCAGACCCGGGGAACUGAAACAUCUAAGUACCCGGAGGAAGAGAAAGCAAAUGCGAUUCCCUGAGUAGCGGCGAGCGAAACGGACAGCCCAAACCAAGAGGCUUGCCUCUUGGGGUUGUAGGACACUCUGUACGGAGUUACAAAGGAACGAGGUAGAUGAAGAGGUCUGGAAAGACCCGCCAUAGGAGGUAACAGCCCUGUAGUCAAAACUUCGUUCUCUCCUGAGUGGAUCCUGAGUACGGCGGAACACGUGAAAUUCCGUCGGAAUCCGGGAGGACCAUCUCCCAAGGCUAAAUACUCCCUAGUGACCGAUAGUGAACCAGUACCGUGAGGAAAGGUGAAAAGCACCCCGGAAGGGGUGAAAGAGAUCCUGAAACCGUGUGCCUACAAGUAGUCAGAGCCCGUUAACGGGUGAUGGCGUGCCUUUGUAGAAUGAACCGGCGAGUUACGAUCCCGUGCAAGGUUAAGCAGAAGAUGCGGAGCCGCAGCGAAAGCGAGUCUGAAUAGGGCGAAUUGAGUACGUGGUCGUAGACCCGAAACCAGGUGAUCUACCCAUGUCCAGGGUGAAGUUCAGGUAACACUGAAUGGAGGCCCGAACCCACGCACGUUGAAAAGUGCGGGGAUGAGGUGUGGUAGGGGUGAAAUGCCAAUCGAACCUGGAGAUAGCUGGUUCUCUCCGAAAUAGCUUUAGGGCUAGCCUCAAGGUAAGAGUCUCGGAGGUAGAGCACUGAUUGGACUAGGGGCCCCUACCGGGUUACCGAAUUCAGUCAAACUCCGAAUGCCGAUGACUUAUCCUUGGGAGUCAGACUGCGAGUGAUAAGAUCCGUAGUCGAAAGGAAACAGCCCAGACCGCCAGCUAAGGUCCCAAAGUAUACGUUAAGUGGAAAAGGAUGUGGAGUUGCUUAGACAACCAGGAUGUUGGCUUAGAAGCAGCCACCAUUUAAAGAGUGCGUAAUAGCUCACUGGUCGAGUGACUCUGCGCCGAAAAUGUACCGGGGCUAAACGUAUCACCGAAGCUGCGGACUGUUCUUCGAACAGUGGUAGGAGAGCGUUCUAAGGGCUGUGAAGCAAGACCGGAAGGACUUGUGGAGCGCUUAGAAGUGAGAAUGCCGGUAUGAGUAGCGAAAGAGGGGUGAGAAUCCCCUCCACCGAAUGCCUAAGGUUUCCUGAGGAAGGCUCGUCCGCUCAGGGUUAGUCGGGACCUAAGCCGAGGCCGAAAGGCGUAGGCGAUGGAUAACAGGUUGAUAUUCCUGUACCACCUCCUCACCAUUUGAGCAAUGGGGGGACGCAGGAGGAUAGGGUAAGCGCGGUAUUGGAUAUCCGCGUCCAAGCAGUUAGGCUGGGAAAUAGGCAAAUCCGUUUCCCGUGAAGGCUGAGCUGUGAUGGCGAGCGAAUUAUAGUAGCGAAGUUCCUGAUUCCACACUGCCAAGAAAAGCCUCUAGCGAGGUGAGAGGUGCCCGUACCGCAAACCGACACAGGUAGGCGAGGAGAGAAUCCUAAGGUGAUCGAGAGAACUCUCGUUAAGGAACUCGGCAAAAUGACCCCGUAACUUCGGGAGAAGGGGUGCUCUGUUAGGGUGCAAGCCCGAGAGAGCCGCAGUGAAUAGGCCCAGGCGACUGUUUAGCAAAACACAGGUCUCUGCGAAGCCGUAAGGCGAAGUAUAGGGGCUGACGCCUGCCCGGUGCUGGAAGGUUAAGAGGAGCGCUUAGCGUAAGCGAAGGUGCGAAUUGAAGCCCCAGUAAACGGCGGCCGUAACUAUAACGGUCCUAAGGUAGCGAAAUUCCUUGUCGGGUAAGUUCCGACCCGCACGAAAGGCGCAACGAUCUGGGCACUGUCUCAACGAGAGACUCGGUGAAAUUAUAGUACCUGUGAAGAUGCAGGUUACCCGCGACAGGACGGAAAGACCCGUGGAGCUUUACUGCAGCCUGAUAUUGAAUGUUGGUACAGCUUGUACAGGAUAGGUAGGAGCCUUGGAAACCGGAGCGCCAGCUUCGGUGGAGGCAUCGGUGGGAUACUACCCUGGCUGUAUUGACCUUCUAACCCGCCGCCCUUAUCGGGCGGGGAGACAGUGUCAGGUGGGCAGUUUGACUGGGGCGGUCGCCUCCUAAAAGGUAACGGAGGCGCCCAAAGGUUCCCUCAGAAUGGUUGGAAAUCAUUCGCAGAGUGUAAAGGCACAAGGGAGCUUGACUGCGAGACCUACAAGUCGAGCAGGGACGAAAGUCGGGCUUAGUGAUCCGGUGGUUCCGCAUGGAAGGGCCAUCGCUCAACGGAUAAAAGCUACCCCGGGGAUAACAGGCUUAUCUCCCCCAAGAGUCCACAUCGACGGGGAGGUUUGGCACCUCGAUGUCGGCUCAUCGCAUCCUGGGGCUGUAGUCGGUCCCAAGGGUUGGGCUGUUCGCCCAUUAAAGCGGUACGCGAGCUGGGUUCAGAACGUCGUGAGACAGUUCGGUCCCUAUCCGUCGCGGGCGCAGGAAAUUUGAGAGGAGCUGUCCUUAGUACGAGAGGACCGGGAUGGACGCACCGCUGGUGUACCAGUUGUUCUGCCAAGGGCAUCGCUGGGUAGCUAUGUGCGGACGGGAUAAGUGCUGAAAGCAUCUAAGCAUGAAGCCCCCCUCAAGAUGAGAUUUCCCAUUCCGCAAGGAAGUAAGAUCCCUGAAAGAUGAUCAGGUUGAUAGGUCUGAGGUGGAAGUGUGGCGACACAUGGAGCUGACAGAUACUAAUCGAUCGAGGACUUAACCAAUUU